UGGCGGCAUGCCUUACACAUGCAAGUCGAACGGCAGCACGGGAGACAAUCCGUGGUGGCGAGUGGCGAACGGGUGAGUAAUAUAGUCGGAACAUACCUAGAGGUGGGGGAUAACGUAGCGAAAGUUACGCUAAUACCGCAUACGCACUAAGGUGGAAAGUGGGGGAUCUUCGGACCUCAUGCUCAUGGAGUGGCCGAUAUCUGAUUAGCUAGUUGGUGAGGUAAAGGCUCACCAAGGCGACGAUCAGUAGCUGGUUUGAGAGAACGACCAGCCACACUGGAACUGAGACACGGUCCAGACUCCUACGGGAGGCAGCAGUGGGAAUUUUGGACAAUGGGGGCAACCCUGAUCCAGCAAUGCCGCGUGAGUGAAGAAGGCCUUCGGGUUGUAAAGCUCUUUUGUCAGGGAAGAAACGGUGAUUUCUAAUACAGAUUGCUAAUGACGGUACCUGAAGAAUAAGCACCGGCUAACUACGUG
rnacentral:rRNA from 1 species